GACAGGGGGUGCAAGCGUUGCUCGGAAUCAUUGGGCGUAAAGCGCACGUAGGCGGUCUGUUAUGUCGGAUGUGAAAGCCCUCGGCUCAACUGAGGAAGUGCAUCCGAAACUGGCAGGCUAGAGUACUAAAGAGGGUCGCGGAAUUCCCGGUGUAGAGGUGAAAUUCGUAGAUAUCGGGAGGAACACCGGUGGCGAAGGCGGCGACCUGGGUAGAUACUGACGCUGAGGUGCGAAAGCGUGGGGAGCAAACAGG
rnacentral:rRNA from 1 species